CUGUGGGUGAGGACAAGGGAUCACUGGCCGCCUGCCUCACGCGCUGGGCCGGGAUGCUGCCGGGGGUGGGGGUGGGGGCAAGGUAGGGAAUGGUGGGGAGGUAGGAGGUGGGGAAGCAAGAAUAGUGGGGAGGUAGAAGGUGGGGGGCAGGUAGGGCUGGGGGGAGGUUGGGGUAGAGGGUAGGGAGUAGGAGAUGGGGGGGUAGGGGGUAGGGGAUCAAUAAGGUAAAAGCUCGGGCUGCCCCAUCCUUAACACGCACCAGGCCCUGGGCCCAGCUUGAGGGGAAGCCAAGCAAGAUCCCCCAAAACACACAGAAGCAACAAUUAACAAAGGAGUAGCAGAUCCCCAGUAUCUCUGCUCAGCCAUUUCAGAGCUGCAGGCCAGAUUCUAAGCAGUGCUGGAUUGAUUUUCUCUGCAACUCUUUUGAAAAUAGUCAAAACUUGCUAUUUGCAAAAAUGCACAUGAAAGAAGUCAUUGAAGGAACACUCAGAAUAUGGGUAGACUUCCUUACACUUAUUUUAAUAUUAAGUAUUAUUUUCAUUUGAGUUACAUAUAAGGCAGGAUUACAGAAUUUGCUAGGCCUUGAAUCUAAGGGAGACACUGCCAGCGGCCACACUAGUUUCUGCCACACUCAUUUUGGCCUUGUGUCCCCUCCUCCUCUGGCAGUUGUAACCUCUCCUCCCUCUUCCUUCAUGCAGCAGAAAGUAUUUCUCAGGACAAGUCUCUUUACUUUCCCAGAGGACAAUUCUAAAUCAGCUCAUAGAGAGUUAUAAAUGAAGCUUGCUAUUCUUAAAUCCCAGGCUCAUUGGCCUGAUACUUCUCAUUCAAGAAUGAGUGUCUGCUUUUAAAACAGCCUGUUGUUCUUCAAUGCCACUUCUGCAGACACCCCCUGCCCACUCCCCCACUGCCUUUGCCACAAAGUGUUAGAAUGACA
rnacentral:lncRNA from 10 species